rnacentral:rRNA from 2 species
UGAGGAAUAUUGGUCAAUGGAGGCAACUCUGAACCAGCCAAGUCGCGUGAAGGAUGACGGCCCUACGGGUUGUAAACUUCUUUUUUAAGGGAAUAAAGUGAGCCACGUGUGGCUUUUUGCAAGUACCUUACGAAUAAGGAUCGGCUAACUCCGUGCCAGCAGCCGCGGUAAUACGGAGGAUCCGAGCGUUAUCCGGAUUUAUUGGGUUUAAAGGGUGCGCAGGCGGAAGAUUAAGUCAGCGGUGAAAGUUUGCAGCUCAACUGUAAAAUUGCCGUUGAAACUGGUUUUCUUGAGUGUAUAUGAAGUAGGCGGAAUUUGUAGUGUAGCGGUGAAAUGCAUAGAUAUUACAAGGAACUCCAAUUGCGAAGGCAGCUUACCAAGCUACAACUGACACUGAAGCACGAAAGCGUGGGGAUCAAACAGG